CGAGUGGCCUUAGACCAUCUGGAGUCUGUUCCCGAGAAACUCAGCCUUUUAGAAGAUUUCAAAGAUUUUGGAGAAAUGUAUCGCCAGAGAGAGAUGAUUGAAGAGAGAUACACUAGAUAUAAAGAAAUAGUGGGAUCCCUACAGCAGCAGCUGGAAGAUUCAAAAAAAAAGAUCCAGUGUUUCAAGGAGGAGGAAACACAUGAUGAUGUUUCUGACAUCCAAGCAGCAGCCCUAUUGUCCACCUGGCGACCUAAAACCAGCUUUAUGUCCAGCUCACCACUUUCAG